rnacentral:rRNA from 1 species
CCUACGGGUGGCAGCAGUGAGGAAUAUUGGUCAAUGGCCGGAAGGCUGAACCAGCCAUGCCGCGUGAAGGUCAGUGCCCUAUGGGCGUUAAACUUCUUUUGUGCGGGAGCAAUAAUGGUCACGUGUGGCCAGACGAGAGUACCGUACGAAUAAGCAUCGGCUAACCUCGUGCCAGCAGCCGCGGUAAUACGGGGGAUGCAAGCGUUAUCCGGAUUUAUUGGGUUUAAAGGGUGCGUAGGCUGUGAGGUAAGUCAGCGGGGGAAAGCCCCCGGUCAACGGGGUGAAGUGCCAUUGAUACUGGCUGGCUGGAAUGCGGAUGCCGUAGGAGGAAUGUGUGGUGUAGCGGUGAAAUGCAUAGAUAUCACGCAGAACACCGAUUGCGAAGGCAGCUUACGAAUCCGCGAUUGACGCUGAUGCACGAAAGCGUGGGUAUCAAACAGGAUUAGAUACCCGGGUAGUC